GUAGGGCAAUAUGUCUUUAAGUAGGGAUAAAUUACUCUAAAAUAAAUUAAUCCUAGAUAGUUUUCCCUUCAAGUCAAGUGUCUUGU
rfam:Sus scrofa isolate TJ Tabasco breed Duroc chromosome 1, whole genome shotgun sequence.